AGAUUCAUGGCCACGAGGACAAACAAGAAUGAAUGGCUAUCUAGUGUUCAGUCAUUUUCAUAAGGAUGGAGUUGUUUGCAACUCUCAAUAUUCUCUUACACUAACAAUCAAUUCAUCAUAGAGCAGAAACAUCCUGAAGAAUAUAUCAGAGUAAUUCUACAGAGGUUGUAUUAGCCAAUUCUUGCGGUCGAAUGCCAUAACAAGAGGCAUAUAACUUAAAAACUACUUUUAGGCUAAGCUGCUUUUUCAAAAGCGAUCCAUUAUUAGUGUUCAGUAUAUGAUAUGUUUGCAUCAUCUUAGCUCAUUGAAUAAUGAAAUAGCAAGUUGAGAAGCUUAUCAUAUUCCCUUUUCAUCCUUUUCUUGCCUCUUUUUGAUGGGUAAAGGCAUAUAACCCCUUUGCCAUGCUAGACUUAGCACUUUAAUGACAUCCGUAAUCUCUUCUUUUUUUGAUCUUUAUC
rnacentral:lncRNA from 1 species